rnacentral:tRNA from 1 species
GCCCCUGUAGCUCAGAUGGAUAGAGCAGCGGUUUCCUAAACCGCGCGCCGGCCGUUCGACUCGGCCCAGGGGUACCA